GACCACCACAGCCCUCAUUUCUGGGGGGAGGUUCUGCACAGCAAUGGAACUAAGGAGCUGUUCUGGCAGCGCAGGGCCAUGCCCUGGGAUUUUGGGAGCCUUCCUGCAGGGUUUUGGAGUGGAGAUCUCCGUGUCCCUGUACUGUCCAGCAGCAGCAGAGAGAGUGGGAGCUGCGCUGGAGGCGAGACAUGAGACAUCCCUCAGCAGAAAGCGCCACCAGACUCUUCUCUUCCCUCUCCCCUCGGGGACACGGAACAAUUAGAAGCUGCAUUUUGGGGUGAUUAUAACACACCUCGGGGGCGUUCAGGAGGCAAAAAGCUAAAGAGCAAAGGACUUAACGACCUGGAAAGACAGCGAUCCCUGGCAGCCGUUCCCAACGCAUCCAGCAGCCCCGGGUCAGAGCUGCCGAGCGCACGGAGCUGCCCGCGUUUUUUUAUUAUUGUUAUUAUUUCUAAUUCGAGCUUUGUUUUUCUCGCUUUAUCAGUUAGCCUAUAUCCACUCUUCCUCUCCUUCGCGUUUUCUGCUAUUUACCUCCCAGCAAACAGAUAUUUCUGGCUCGGAAUGAGGCAGACGUGCCGCCCCGUGCGGGGCUGAGCCGGGGAUGGAGCCGGACGGACUCGGAGCUCCCCCUGCCGCCCGCCGCGGGGCCGGCAGCGGAUUCGGCUCUUUAUUAAUGAACGGGCUGCAAUUAGCGAGCGGUUCCCGGCCCCGGCGCUCCGUGAGAGCGUCAGCGAUGCCUCAACUACGCGGGACGGGACGGCCGUGCGGCUCAGCUUUCUCACCCCUUCUCCUCUGCCUUUCCCCACACGGACACAGAACCGUACGGCGGAGAAGCAAACAGCCGCUCCGAGCGCUGCCUGCGCUCAUCUCCCGCACGGAGCGGCUCCGCCCGCAGCAUAGAGC